ACGAUACUAGUAAAAUCAUAACACUACCUUGUCGAGGUAAUAUUGCAGGUUAAAGUCCUGCGUAUUGUA
rnacentral:tRNA from 1 species